GAGUUUGAUUCUGGCUCAGAACGAACGCUGGCGGCGCGUCUUAAGCAUGCAAGUCGAACGGUAAGGGAGAGCUUGCUCUCCCCUAGAGUGGCGGACUGGUGAGUAACGCGUGGGUGACCUGCCCUGAAGAUGGGGAUAGCUAGUAGAAAUAUUAGAUAAUACCGAAUGUGCUCAUUUACAUAAAGGUAAAUGAGGAAAGGAGCUACGGCUCCGCUUCAGGAUGGGCCCGCGUCCCAUUAGCUGGUUGGUGAGGUAAAGGCCCACCAAGGCAACGAUGGGUAUCCGGCCUGAGAGGGUGAACGGACACAUUGGGACUGAGAUACGGCCCAAACUCCUACGGGAGGCAGCAGCUAAGAAUCUUCCGCAAUGGACGAAAGUCUGACGGAGCGACGCCGUGUGAAUGAAGAAGGCUGAAAGGUUGUAAAAUUCUUUUGCAGAUGAAGAAUAAACACAGGAGGGAAUGCCCUGUGA
rnacentral:rRNA from 1 species